ACCAGGGCUUUUGGCACCACUAGGUUGCUAUGCAGUAGCCAACCAGCAGAGCUUGUGACUUCACCCUCCAGACCGGACACUGGGGACCUGUUAAAUGUGACACUAGAAAUGUGACACUCGACCCCGUCCCAUUCUGGCUACAUCACAGUCUUCUUGCCAAAGUAUCGUGGACACUACACCCAGUUCCACUCCAUCUACACCACAGUCUCCUUUCUGGUGUCCUUGCUAAGGAAGCUGAGGUUCAGUGUGUGGUGUGUGUGCAUGGUUCGUGCUGGUCGGGGGAUCUGUAGCCUAACUCUCUGGUCUGUCUGUUUCCACGUCCUGAACAGGUGGAUGUGGUAGCGCAGCGACACCUGGUGGUGGAAGAGAGCAGUUGAUUUUUACCAGACAGUGUUUCCAAUGACAUCAACCAAUUGGUAGGCAAUGCCUACUCAUAAUUGGUUAAAAUCACAUGAUGCACACAGAUGUCAUUGGAAACGUUUAUCUUCCUCUAUCUUUUUUACUACAAAACAUAGAACCAUUUUCACACAUGUUGAUGUUGCGGUGGUGCUGGAGAUGAUGAGUAUGACAAGGGGAAACUGUGACAUUUCUCUUUAAGUCAAGGAUGUUUGUAGUGGCUGUUCUAAAAAAACAGAACCAUGGAUUACAAUCUCUCCUGGUGCAUAGACUACCUUCAGGGGCCAUGUUGAUUAGGCACCAAUCUGAAGAAAACGGACAGCAAAGAUGGUGGAUAAUGAAGACGUCACAAAAAUGAGUGGCUUGGGCAGUCUCUCCAGGGCGUACUGGUGGUGGCAGAGUUCACAGCGGCUGCUGUUGGAGGCAGUGAGCCAGUGUUCCAGGCAGCCUCGGUGGACCAUGGCCAGCGUCCCUGCACACUCACAGGGGGAGAGCAGCUCCCCGACACCCCCUCCCUCGUGGCAGAUACGACAGAAGGGCUCCUCACUGCUAAGACUGCAGGACAACAGAGAGACAAAGUCAACACAGGGCAAAACGGAGAGUCCGGGGAUGAGUCCCUAAUGGCACACUAUUCCCUUUAUAUGACACCACAGGGCUCUGGUCUAAAGUAGUGCACUAUAUAGGUAAUAAGGAGACAUUUGGGACCCAGACAAGGAGGACGUAAGAGAGAGCCAAUGCAUGUUAUUGUACAUAAUUUAAAUCCCCUUAUUAAAGGAUUCCUCUAUGAAUAACCUCACAUACAA